rnacentral:snRNA from 1 species
AGUACGAUACAGAGAAGAUUAGCAUGGCCUCUGCUCAUGGAUGACACGCGAAAUUUGGCUCUCUAACUGAUUUCA